GAUGAACGCUGGCGGCGUGCCUAAUACAUGCAAGUCGAGCGAACGGACGAGAAGCUUGCUUCUCUGAUGUUAGCGGCGGACGGGUGAGUAACGCGUGGAUAACCUACCUAUAAGACUGGGAUAACUUCGGGAAACCGGAGCUAAUACCGGAUAAUAUUUUGAACCGCAUGGUUCAAAAGUGAAAGACGGUCCUGCUGUCACUUAUAGAUGGAUCCGCGCUGCAUUAGCUAGUUGGUAAGGUAACGGCUUACCAAGGCAACGAUGCAUAGCCGACCUGAGAGGGUGAUCGGCCACACUGGAACUGAGACACGGUCCAGACUCCUACGGGAGGAAGCAGUAGGGAAUCUUCCGCAAUGGGCGAAAGCCUGACGGAGCAACGCCGCGUGAGUGAUGAAGGUCUUCGGAUCGUAAAACUCUGUUAUUAGGGAAGAACAUAUGUGUAAGUAACUGUGCACAUCUUGACGGUACCUAAUCAGAAAGCCACGGCUAACUACGUG
rnacentral:rRNA from 1 species